GACUUUGAAUCAAAAAACACAAAAAAUUUUUACUCUAAGCGGUGGAUCACUCGGCUCAUGCAUCGAUGAAGAACGCAGCAAACUGUGCGUCAU
rnacentral:rRNA from 1 species